rnacentral:rRNA from 1 species
GACGAACGCUGGCGGCGUGCUUAACACAUGCAAGUCGAACGGUGAAGCGCCUUCCUUUUUGGUGGGUGUGGAUGAGUGGCGAACGGGUGAGUAACACGUGAGUAACCUGCCCCCUUCUUCUGGAUAACCGCAUGAAAGUGUGGCUAAUACGGGAUAUUCUGGGUCUGUCGCAUGAUGGGUCUGGGAAAGAUAUUGUUUCGGUGGGGGAUGGGCUCGCGGCCUAUCAGCUUGUUGGUGGGGUGAUGGCCUACCAAGGCGGUGAGGGGUAGCCGGCCUGAGAGGGUGGACGGUCACACUGGGACUGAGACACGGCGCAGACUCCCACGGGAGGCAGCAGUGGGGAAUAUUGCACAAUGGGCGCAAGCCUGAUGCAGCGACGCCGCGUGAGGGAUGGAGGCCUUCGGGUUGUGAACCUCUUUCGCCAGUGAAGCAGGCCUGCCUCGUUUGUGGGUGGGUUGACGGUAGCUGGAUAAGAAGCGCCGGCUAACUACGUG